CCUACGGGCGGCAGCAGUGAGGAAUAUUGGUCAAUGGACGAGAGUCUGAACCAGCCAAGUAGCGUGAAGGAUGACUGCCCUAUGGGUUGUAAACUUCUUUUAUAUGGGAAUAAAAUGUUCCACGUGUGGGAUUUUGUAUGUACCAUAUGAAUAAGGAUCGGCUAACUCCGUGCCAGCAGCCGCGGUAAUACGGAGGAUCCGAGCGUUAUCCGGAUUUAUUGGGUUUAAAGGGAGCGUAGGUGGAUUGUUAAGUCAGUUGUGAAAGUUUGCGGCUCAACCGUAACAUUGCAGUUGAAACUGGCAGUCUUGAGUACAGUAGAGGUGGGCGGAAUUCGUGGUGUAGCGGUGAAAUGCUUAGAUAUCACGAAGAACUCCGAUUGCGAAGGCAGUUCACUGGACUGCAACUGACACUGAGGCUCGAAAGUGUGGGUAUCAAACAGGAUUAGAUACCCCAGUAGUC
rnacentral:rRNA from 1 species